rnacentral:rRNA from 1 species
UACGUAGGGGGCAAGCGUUGUCCGGAAUCAUUGGGCGUAAAGAGCGUGUAGGCGGCUCGAUAAGUCUGCUGUGAAAGUCCAGGGCUCAACCCUGGAAGGCCGGUGGAAACUGCCAGGCUCGAGUCCCGGAGAGGAGGGUGGAAUUCCUGGUGUAGCGGUGAAAUGCGUAGAUAUCAGGAGGAACACCGGUGGCGAAGGCGGCCCUCUGGACGGUGACUGACGCUGAGACGCGAAAGCGUGGGGAGCAAACAGG